AGGCGACGAAGUGGUUGAUACCAUGCUUCCAAGAAAAGCUCCUAAGCUUCAGAUAACUGGGAACCGUACCCCAAACCGACACAGGUGGUUAGGUAGAGAAUACCAAGGCGCUUGAGAGAACUCGGGUGAAGGAACUAGGCAAAAUGGCACCGUAACUUCGGGAGAAGGUGCGCCGGCGAGGGUGAAGGACUUGCUCCGUAAGCCCAUGCCGGUCGAAGAUACCAGGCCGCUGCGACUGUUUAUUAAAAACACAGCACUCUGCAAACACGAAAGUGGACGUAUAGGGUGUGACGCCUGCCCGGUGCCGGAAGGUUAAUUGAUGGGGUUAGCGCAAGCGAAGCUCUUGAUCGAAGCCCCGGUAAACGGCGGCCGUAACUAUAACGGUCCUAAGGUAGCGAAAUUCCUUGUCGGGUAAGUUCCGACCUGCACGAAUGGCGUAACGAUGGCGGCGCUGUCUCCACCCGAGACUCAGUGAAAUUGAAAUCGCUGUGAAGAUGCAGUGUAUCCGCGGCUAGACGGAAAGACCCCGUGAACCUUUACUAUAGCUUUGCACUGGACUUUGAAUUUGCUUGUGUAGGAUAGGUGGGAGGCUUUGAAGUGGGGACGCCAGUUCUCAUGGAGCCAUCCUUGAAAUACCACCCUGGCAACUUUGAGGUUCUAACUCAGGUCCGUUAUCCGGAUCGAGGACAGUGUAUGGUGGGUAGUUUGACUGGGGCGGUCUCCUCCCAAAGAGUAACGGAGGAGUACGAAGGUGCGCUCAGACCGGUCGGAAAUCGGUCGUAGAGUAUAAAGGCAAAAGCGCGCUUGACUGCGAGACAAACACGUCGAGCAGGUACGAAAGUAGGUCUUAGUGAUCCGGUGGUUCUGUAUGGAAGGGCCAUCGCUCAACGGAUAAAAGGUACUCCGGGGAUAACAGGCUGAUACCGCCCAAGAGUUCAUAUCGACGGCGGUGUUUGGCACCUCGAUGUCGGCUCAUCACAUCCUGGGGCUGAAGCCGGUCCCAAGGGUAUGGCUGUUCGCCAUUUAAAGUGGUACGCGAGCUGGGUUUAGAACGUCGUGAGACAGUUCGGUCCCUAUCUGCCGUGGACGUUUGAGAUUUGAGAGGGGCUGCUCCUAGUACGAGAGGACCGGAGUGGACGAACCUCUGGUGUUCCGGUUGUCACGCCAGUGGCAUUGCCGGGUAGCUAUGUUCGGAAGAGAUAACCGCUGAAAGCAUCUAAGCGGGAAACUUGCCUCAAGAUGAGAUCUCACUGGAACCUUGAGUUCCCUGAAGGGCCGUCGAAGACUACGACGUUGAUAGGUUGGGUGUGUAAGCGCUGUGAGGCGUUGAGCUAACCAAUACUAAUUGCCCGUGAGGCUUGACCAU
rnacentral:rRNA from 1 species